rnacentral:rRNA from 1 species
UACGAAGGGGGCUAGCGUUGCUCGGAAUCACUGGGCGUAAAGCGCACGUAGGCGGAUUGCUAAGUCAGGGGUGAAAUCCUGGAGCUCAACUCCAGAACUGCCUUUGAUACUGGGAAUCUCGAGUCCGGGAGAGGUGAGUGGAACUGCGAGUGUAGAGGUGAAAUUCGUAGAUAUUCGCAAGAACACCAGUGGCGAAGGCGGCUCACUGGCCCGGUACUGACGCUGAGGUGCGAAAGCGUGGGGAGCAAACAGGG